UACGGAGGGUGCAAACGUUGUCCGGAAUCACUGGGCGUAAAGCGCAUGUAGGUGGCUUGAUCAGUGGACGAUUAAAUACCGAUGCUUAACAUCGGAACUGUUGUCCAUACUGUCUGGCUUGAGAAUGACAGGGGUAAGCGGAACUUUAGGUGUAGGAGUGAAAUCCGUAGAUAUCUAGAGGAACACCAAUGGCGAAGGCAGCUUACUGGGUCUUUUCUGACACUGAGAUGCGAAAGCGUGGGGAGCGAACGGG
rnacentral:rRNA from 1 species